CCUACGGGAGGCAGCAGUGGGGAAUAUUGCACAAUGGGGGAAACCCUGAUGCAGCGACGCCGCGUGAGUGAAGAAGUAUUUCGGUAUGUAAAGCUCUAUCAGCAGGGAAGAUAAUGACGGUAUUUGUGAAAGAAGCCAUGGCGAACAACGUGCCAGCAGCCCCGGUAAUACGUAGGGGCCAAGCGUUAACCGGAUUUACGGGUGGUAAGGGGAGCGUAGACGGCUUGGCAUGUAUGAAGUGAAAGCCCGGGGAUUAACCGGGGGAUUGCUUUGGAUACUGUUAAGCUGGAGUGCAGGAGAGGUGAGUGGAAUUCCUAGUGUAGCGGUGAAAUGCGUAGAGAUUAGGAGGAACACCAGUGGCGAAGGCGGCUUACUGGACUAUAACUGACGUUGAGGCUCGAAAGCGUGGGGAGCAAACAGGAUUAGAUACCCGGGUAGUC
rnacentral:rRNA from 1 species